GACGAACGCUGGCGGCGUGCCUAAUACAUGCAAGUAGAACGCUGAAGGAGGAGCUUGCUUCUCCGGAUGAGUUGCGAACGGGUGAGUAACGCGUAGGUAACCUGCCUGGUAGCGGGGGAUAACUAUUGGAAACGAUAGCUAAUACCGCAUAAGAGUAGAUGUUGCAUGACAUUUGCUUAAAAGGUGCAAUUGCAUCACUACCAGAUGGACCUGCGUUGUAUUAGCUAGUUGGUGAGGUAACGGCUCACCAAGGCGACGAUACAUAGCCGACCUGAGAGGGGGAUCGGCCACACUGGGACUGAGACACGGCCCAGACUCCUACGGGAGGCAGCAGUAGGGAAUCUUCGGCAAUGGACGGAAGUCUGACCGAGCAACGCCGCGUGAGUGAAGAAGGUUUUCGGAUCGUAAAGCUCUGUUGUAAGAGAAGAACGAGUGUGAGAGUGGAAAGUUCACACUGUGACGGUAUCUUACCAGAAAGGGACGGCUAACUACGUG
rnacentral:rRNA from 1 species